rnacentral:rRNA from 1 species
AUUGAACGCUGGCGGCAUGCCUUACACAUGCAAGUCGAACGGUAACAGGUCUUCGGAUGCUGACGAGUGGCGAACGGGUGAGUAAUACAUCGGAACGUGCCCGAUCGUGGGGGAUAACGGAGCGAAAGCUUUGCUAAUACCGCAUACGAUCUACGGCUGAAAGCAGGGGACCGCAAGGCCUUGCGCGGACCGAGCGGCCGCUGGCAGAUUAGGUAGUUGGUGGGAUAAAAGCUUACCAAGCCGACGAUCUGUAGCUGGUCUGAGAGGACGACCAGCCACACUGGGACUGAGACACGGCCCAGACUCCUACGGGAGGCAGCAGUGGGGAAUUUUGGACAAUGGGCGAAAGCCUGAUCCAGCCAUGCCGCGUGCAGGAUGAAGGCCUUCGGGUUGUAAACUGCUUUUGUACGGAACGAAAAGCCUCUUUCUAAUAAAGAGAGGUCAUGACGGUACCGUAAGAAUAAGCACCGGCUAACUACGUGCCAGCAGCCGCCGUAACAC